UACGUAGGGGGCAAGCGUUGUCCGGAAUUAUUGGGCGUAAAGAGCUCGUAGGCGGUUUGUCGCGUCGGCUGUGAAAACCUGGGGCUCAACCCCGGGCCUGCAGCCGAUACGGGCAAACUAGAAUUCGGUAGGGGAGACUGGAAUUCCCGGUGUAGCAGUGAAAUGCGUAGAGAUCGGGAGGAACAUCUGUGGCGAAGGCGGCCACCUGGACCAACACUGACACUGAGGCACGAAAGCGUGGGGAGCGAACAGG
rnacentral:rRNA from 1 species